GACGAACGCUGGCGGCGUGCUUAACACAUGCAAGUCGAACGGAAAGGGCCCUUUGGGGGUACUCGAGUGGCGAACGGGUGAGUAACACGUGAGUAACCUGCCCUUGACUUCGGGAUAACUUCAGGAAACUGGGGCUAAUACCGGAUAGGAAUCCUUGCUGCAUGGUGGGGGUUGGAAAGCUUCGGCGGUUUUGGAUGGACUCGCGGCUUAUCAGCUUGUUGGUGGGGUAGUGGCUUACCAAGGCUUUGACGGGUAGCCGGCCUGAGAGGGCGACCGGCCACAUUGGGACUGAGAUACGGCCCAGACUCCUACGGGAGGCAGCAGUGGGGAAUAUUGCACAAUGGGCGGAAGCCUGAUGCAGCAACGCCGCGUGCGGGAUGACGGCCUUCGGGUUGUAAACCGCUUUCAGCAGGGGCGAAGCUUGUGGUGACGGUACCUGCAGAAGAAGCACCGGCUAACUACGUG
rnacentral:rRNA from 1 species